AGAGUUUGAUCCUGGCUCAGAACGAACGCUGGCGGCAUGCCUUAUACAUGCAAGUCGAACGAGAAAGUCACUUCGGUGGCGAGUACAGUGGCGCACGGGUGAGUAACGCGUAGAUGAUCUACCCUUCAGUCUGGGACAACUCUUGGAAACGGGAGCUAAUACCGGAUAAAACCUUCGGGUUGAAAGAUUUAUCGCUGGGGGAUGAGUCUGCGUACCAUUAGCUUGUUGGUGGGGUAACGGCCUACCAAGGCGACGAUGGUUAGCGGGUCUGAGAGGACGAUCCGCCACACUGGAACUGAGACACGGUCCAGACUCCUACGGGAGGCAGCAGUAGGGAAUAUUGCGCAAUGGGGGCAACCCUGACGCAGCAAUGCCGCGUGAGUGAAGAAGGCCUUCGGGUCGUAAAGCUCUUUUAUGGGGGAAGAUGAUGACGGUACCCCAUGAAUAAGCACCGGCUAACUACGUGCCAGCAGCCGCGGUAAUACGUAGGGUGCGAGCGUUGUUCGGAAUUACUGGGCGUAAAGGGCGUGCAGGCGGAUUGGCAAGCCGGAGGUGAAAGCCCGGGGCUCAACCCCGGAGGGUCUUUCGGAACUGCCAGUCUUGAGAGGGUCAGGGGCCAGCGGAAUUCCUGGUGUAGAGGUGAAAUUCGUAGAGAUCAGGAGGAACACCGGCGGCGAAAGCGGCUGGCUGGGGCCACUCUGACGCUGAGGCGCGAAAGCGUGGGGAGCAAACAGGAUUAGAUACCCUGGUAGUCCACGCCGUAAACGAUGGGCACUAAGCGUCCGACGGGUUCGACCCUGUUGGGUGCUGCAGUUAACGCGUUAAGUGCCCCGCCUGGGGAGUACGGUCGCAAGACUAAAACUCAAAGGAAUUGACGG
rnacentral:rRNA from 1 species